rnacentral:lncRNA from 1 species
GUGUGGCUUUUUCACCUCAAAAUAAGGUCAGUAGUAUCUUAUAAAAUGAGGAAGGUGCCACCCCUUAGUACUUCUGAUGAUAACAUAGUUUUCAAAAGCUGUUGCAGUUUUGGGGGGGAGGGGUUUCCUUUUCAAUAGCCAUCUAAAUCAACUCUUCCAAUACAGGCUCGGAAUCCAGUAUUAGGAGUACAGUCUUUUUUUACUCACGAAGAUUAGACCUCCCUUACAAAGCACCCCGUCCUCGUUUCUCUCCGCUUCCGCUGCUCAGUCCGGUGAGAAUCUCACGCCCCCCCACCCCGCCUUCCAGGUGAAGCCACCAGAUGCCCAGGCAUGUCCUCAGGCCAUUUCUGAGUGAGUCAGGCAGGCAGGGGUUGUGGUCACACGGGCAGGAGGAAUUCUCCACCCCUUCCCCAGCCCCAGCCUCACUGAUGAGGACACCAGCCUGCGGGGAGGGAGGGACAAAUGGAAACGCUCCCGCCUCUCAUCCAACCACAGAUAGAUGCGCAGGGGUGGCCGGCCUCCUCCCACCCUCACACACUCCCCCCACUCUACCUUCCAGAAGGUCGGGUUUGCGGUGAGGUUGGGGACCUUCUAUGUGUCCCCCGAUGAAGGGUUUGGGUUCAGUCUGCUCGAACGGGGAUGAAAUCCAGCUGGAUCCCCGCAUACUACAGAUGUCUUUCCAGAACGUUCUAUAGCACACAGUGAUGAUCUGCCAGCCUCCGAGAUGACUGAUGUUGGCUCUCGAAUGGAGAGAUUAAGCCAAAUACCUGGUGUGUUGUGAAGCCAUCGAGUUGCAGGGCUGGAGAGAAAGGGUGGAUCUUUACUGAGGCUCUCUUUGUGUGACAUAAAACCAGAGACCCAGGCAGGAUGUCGCUCUUCCCUAAGAUUAGAGCAUCUCAUUCCGUUCACCCAGGUUUAAGGACUCAGGCUCUUAUUGUCCAAAGAAUCUUACAGUUGAAUUAUGGAGGGGAAAUUCCCCUUUGCCCCCAGGAUUUCUGUAUUUAAAGCAAUAUCCUGUAAGAGUCUGUAAGACUUAGGCCGACACCUUCAGCCACUUGAAGAAAUAGAAGGUGGCAAUUCCAAUGUAGUCUUCACUGUCCAUCCAGAUAUUACCGUUAUUGGUUUUCUGUUCACCCCCUUAAUGGCAAAGGUUCUUCUCAUUGGUUCUUUGAGAGAAUACCUGAGUGAUGCCGAUACCAGGGAUACAGCAUUUACAAACUGCAGACCUGAAAGAUUUCAGGUUCAAUUUAGGCAACUUUGAUGGAGCACCUGCUAGACACCCCGAGAGAUUCCCAAGAAUCGGGCACCAUCCUUGCCCUCCAAGAGCGUAUCUCCUACCUGCAGAAUCUAUCUAGCAUGAAAUUUCUCACUUCAACACUAAGCACUAGGGGGGACGAAAAUUUCACCUGGGACCAAACCAGAAGUGCGUCCCUGAUCUGAAUAGCUGGCCUUUCCCUGCUGCCAUCGUGGGAGGUCUUGGCUUGCAAAAUGAGAAACUGGGAAAGGAGAACUCAGAAGAAUGCCGCAGGGGAGCAAACUUGCCUCCACCUGGGUCCGAGGCAGACAGUCUCACUUGUACCUUGAAAUUCUCUAGCGUCUACUCUUCCCUGCACCUUGAGGUAACCAGGGUGCUUCCUCUCCAUCAGAAGACAGCAGUGGCAAUUGGCUGGACGGGCUACGUGGAAGUAAUGCUAUCUCUAAGAUCUUUCUGUCCCGAGGCAACUCUGUCGUGCCUAAGGUAGCAUCACCGAUGUUCCACAUCCUUUGAGGGGCGGGGGUGUCCCCACAGGAAAAGAGGAGUAACAACUGAUGGAUUUUUUCUCUUUUCAGCAGUAUGUCUGGAACCCCCUGCUCCAUCAUCUUACACUGAUACCUUGGUCCAAGUGAGAAUGUAGAUUUAGCAGAAACUUAAAUGGCUUGGACGGGAUGUACCUAAAUGCCUAAGUAACCACACCUCCUCCGCCAUUCACUGCCUAGGAUCCAACUCUGAAUACAUGUCUGAAACAUUAGCUCCCCUUUUGAAGAAGGGAAAUCUGAGUAUCAGAGAGGUCCUGUGACUUGUCCUAGGAGCAGACGGCAUGCCAGGGACAGAAUGAGGAUUGGGACCCAGCCUGGCCAUACCCCGAUCUGACCCAUUCCCACCCAGGAAGCUGAAGAUAAAAAUUGGGGGAAAUACACAAAGAACAAAAGGCAGUUUCUUUGCCCAAACAUUCGGUGCUAGUUAGUUUUCACCCACUCAACCUGUUUCUCUUCUGAACAGUAAUGAAGGGAGUGAUCCAAGGAGCCGGGAGUGGGGUGGGAAGGGGGGUGACAAUGGUCCCUGCCUGCCUAAAAACCACAGAAGACUAACCUGAUACCCUUUGGGCCCCAUCUGCAUCAACACUAAACAACGACAAACUCCCCGAAUCUUUCAUACAUGCCAAGUGAACAUUCUUGAAGAUUUCUCUUUGUGACUGCAACCACCUGCAAACGAGGACGAAUCUAGAAUUUUUUUUUUAAUUUCUAAUCUCUUGUUGUUUAUGAGGUGUGGGGUUUAUAAGGGACUGAAUCAAAUGAAUGUA